rfam:Ricinus communis cultivar Hale ctg_1100012312368, whole genome shotgun sequence.
AGACUAUGAUGUGGAUAGCUCUAGAAAAAGAUCCUUGAACCGCUCCCAAUAAUCAUACAAGGUUUCAUUCUCUUGUUGAAGAAAUUCUACUUGUCAUUCAUCAGCUU